UACAGAGGGUGCGAGCGUUAUUCGGAAUUACUGGGCGUAAAGCGUGCGUAGACGGUCUUGUAAGUCGGGUGUGAAAUCCCCGGGCUCAACCUGGGAAUUGCAUUCGAGACUGCAAGGCUUGGGUGCGGAAGAGGGAAGCGGAAUUUCCGGUGUAGCGGUGAAAUGCGUAGAUAUCGGAAGGAACAUCAGUGGCGAAAGCGGCUUCCUGGUCCAGCACCGACGUUCAGGCACGAAAGCGUGGGGAGCAAACAGG
rnacentral:rRNA from 1 species